GCUGACUAGAAGUCACUUUAGUUUCUAUUAAUAGUAGAACCUUUCAAGCUUUACCUUCUGAUUUUGUGCAACUAGAAAUGGAAAUGAGAAGCAUAAAGCUAAAUGGUUUAUACAGUCUUGUUUCAGGGUACAAUUAAUAGCAAAGAAGAAAAAAAGGAUGGACCGAUGAAUAAAUUUCAUUCAGAAGCUGGCAGCAAUUAUGAAGAUGGCCGUAGCCAUAUAUUGUAUUAACAAACAUGAUGUACAGCAAAAAAAAAAUUGGCAGAAAUUCUUAAGCUGAGUUUGCUACAGAUUAU
rnacentral:misc_RNA from 1 species